UUUGGGCAUUGUUCAUCAUGGUUCUUGUUGCAAAGGCCAAAUAGGGGUGGCGGUAUUCCUAUUCCCCCCCCCCUCUCUCUCUCUCUCUCUCUCUCCUUCUUCCAAACGCCUAGAUCUGUUGUUCGUCUUCUUCCUCUUAUCACCGAACAGAGAGUGACGGGGAACUGUGGCGGUAGCUCCAGUCAGUUUACUUCUAUCAGUCGAUCCCAGCAACACCAGUUUGCUCUUCCCAAAAUCGCACCUGCAAGGGAGGGCAUUCAAAGCUGAGGUGGAUCGGUUUUGGGCACUAUUGAUCAUCAUUCUCAUUGCGAAGGCCGAACAGGGGUGGUGGCAGUAUUCCCCCCUCCUCUCUCCGGUUAUUCUCCCUCUAAACUCUCUUUAUUUCCCCUCUCUCCCCUUCUUCUUCCAAAUGCCCAGAUCUGUUGUUCGUCUUCUUCCUCUUAUCACCGAACAGAGAGUGGUGGGGAACUGCAACGGUAGCUCCAGUUAAUUUGAUUGUAUCAGCCAAUCUCAGCAACACCAGUUUGCUCUUCCCAGAAUCGCACCUGCAAGGGAGGACGUUCGAAGCUUAGGCCUAUUUUUGUCUUUUAACGCAGUCUAAUGCAUCUGACUGUGUUAAGAGGUUGUCCGACCUCUUUCAAUUUUAGAUCUGAAAUGGAGUUUCAGACCCAUAUUCAGACCGGAUUCCAAACAUGCAUAACUUCUGAAAAGCAAGAGGUCUGAAAAGAGUUAUCAAACGCGCCCUAAGACUGAUACAACCCAAUUUGCAUGUGCUCCUGCACCUUUGCAAUAUGGAAAACUUUUGGCCCUAGGGCCAACGCAAAGGGUGCAAGUCUAAUUAGUCCCGUUCUCCAUAAAAUGGCAGGAACCAACAGGAUUUAAUCUGCAAGGACAACUCCUGCACUGAAGACUCCAUGCCAACAAUCUGUGGGGACAUCUGCAACAUGCCAACUUCUGAAUCUACCGAACCACAUCAUUCAUUCAUGUUCCUUUUGGAAGGCAGUUCUGCAGUUUCGUCCACAUAUAAUUUACAUUAACCUACAGUACUAUCGAUAUCACCAGACACGGGUUCUGCACAUUAAAAUAAAAAUAAAAAAUAAAAAAUAAAAAAACACUCAAAAGAAGAUUGAUGUCGUAAUGGAGGAUGGAAUAAUACACACUAGCCAGGCCCACAAUAUGCAAGGCAUGCUUUGCUUCUCAUCAACAUUGGAUUAAAGUAGUUAAAACAUGCACUUGCCUACCCACACUCCUGUU